rnacentral:rRNA from 1 species
UGGGGAAUAUUGGACAAUGGGGGAAACCCUGAUCCAGCAAUGCCGCGUGAGUGAAGAAGGCCUUAGGGUUGUAAAGCUCUUUCGCCCGCGAAGAUAAUGACGGUAGCGGGAGAAGAAGCCCCGGCUAACUCCGUGCCAGCAGCCGCGGUAAUACGGAGGGGGCUAGCGUUGUUCGGAAUUACUGGGCGUAAAGCGUACGUAGGCGGAUGCGCAAGUUGGGGGUGAAAUCCCGGGGCUUAACCUCGGAAUUGCCCUCAAAACUGCACGUCUUGAGACCGAGAGAGGUAAGGAGAAUGCCUAGUGUAGAGGUGAAAUUCGUAGAUAUUAGGAAUAACACCAGUGGCGAAGGCGCCUUACUGGCUCGGUACUGACGCUGAGGUACGAAAGCGUGGGGAGCAAACA